AUGAACGUGAGCAGUCCUUGGUGGACCAGUGAUAGUCAUAUGAACAUCUGUUUCUGCUUUAUUGACUAUGCCAAAGCCUUUGACUGUGUGGAUCACAAUAAACUGUGGAAAAUUCUCAAAGAAAUGGGAAUAUCAGACCACCUGACCUCCCUCUUGAGAAACCUACAUGCAGGUCAGGAAGCAACAGUUAGAACUGGACAUGGAACAACAGACUGGUUCCAAAUAGGAAAAGGAGAAUUUCAAGGCUGUAUAUUGUCACCCUGCUUAUUUAACUUAUAUGCAGAGUACAUCAUGAGAAAUGCUGGGCUGGAGGAAGCACAAGCUGGAAUCAAGAUUGUUGGGAGAAAUAUCAAUAAACUCAGAUAUGCAAACGACACCACCCUUAUGGCAGAUAGUGAAGAAGAACUAAAGAGCCUCUUGAUGAAAGUGAAAGAGGAGAGUGAAAAAGUUGGCUUAAAGCUCAACAUUCAGAAAACUAAGAUCAUGGCAUCCGGUCCCAUCACUUCAUGGCAAGUAGAUGGAGAAAGAGUAACUGACUUUAUUUUUCUGGUCUCCAAAAUCACUGCAGAUGGUAAUUGCAGCCAUGAAAUUAAAGGAUGCUUACUCCUUGGAAGGAAAGUUAUGACCAACUUAGACAGCAUAUUAAAAAGCAGAGACAUUACUUUGUCAACAAAGGUCCAUCUAUUCAAGGCUAUGGUUUUUCCAGUAGUCAUGUAUGGAUGUGAGAGUUGGACUGUGAAGAAAGCUGAGCACCGAAGAAUUGAUGCUUUUGAACUAUGGUAUUGGAGAAGGCUCUUGAUAGUCCCUUGGGCUGCAAGGAGAUCCAACCAGUCCAUCCUAAAGGAGAUCAGUCCUGGGUAUUCAUUGGUAGGACUGAUUUUGAAGCUGAAACUCCAAUAUUUUGACCACCUGAUGCAAAGAGCCGACUCAUUGGUCAAGGUCCUGAUGCUGGAAAAGAUUGAGGGCAGAAGGAGAAGGGGACGACAGAGGACAAGAUGGCUGGAUGGCAUCACCGUUUCGAUGGACGUGACUUUGAGUGAACUCUGGGAGUUGGUGAUGGACAGGGAGGCCUGGCGUGCUGUGACUCAUGGGGUCGCAAAGAGUCGGACACGACUGAGUGACUGA
rnacentral:lncRNA from 1 species